CUUUUUGUGUAGAGGAUGCUCAACCCCUUUUAUCAGGAUCUCAACCCCUUGUCUAUUGGUACUGGACCUCUGGAAGAGAUAAGUUUGAUUUCAUUGAUUGCAGAGGGAAUGUUUGUGAAAAAUUCAAAUUGUGCAAUAUAGCCAACAACCUGCAGUUUAUGAUAAUGCACAAUUUAUGAUAAGGCCAAAAAAAAAAAUAUGUGGGUUUCCGGUUUCUUCUUAUAAAAACUUAGGUAGGGUAGGUCGGUUUUAACUUUUUUUUUUUAACUUUUUUUUUAAAUUUUCUGAACAACCGGACGCCAUUUUGUUUAGUCAGUGCUUCCACAUCCAAAGAUAAAUUUCCCUAAUAUUGCCUCAAAUUUCAAUUUUCCACAAAGUUUUUCCUCUAAGUGGAAACACUUACAAGCAUGAUCCAAUAAAAAAGUUUAGGGUCGGGAUUUCGACGUCCAAAAGCUAGGUAGGGUCGGGAAACCGGAAACCCACAUAUUUUUUUUUUUGGCCUAAUGAUGAUAUUAUAUCAUUAAUGUAAUGCAUGUAUUGUACAUGCAGGAUAUACCGUAAAUCUCCAAAUAUAAGCCCCCCAUGUAUAAGUCUCCCUCCCCACGUAUAAGCCCACCACAUGUACUAACGCUCACCUCAUUCCAAAUAUAAGCCCCCCCUGAAUAUAAGCCCAC
rnacentral:lncRNA from 1 species